ACACGACUACAUUAGAUACCCGGGUAGUCCUAGCCGUAAACGAUACUCGAUAGGUGUCGGCCACGGUGCGACCGUUGUCGGUGCCGUAGGGAAGCCGUGAAGCGAGCCACCUGGGAAGUACGGCCGCAAGGCUGAAACUUAAAGGAAUUGGCGGGGGAGCACAACAACGGGUGGAGCUUGCGGUUUAAUUGGAUUCAACGCCGGAAAUCUUACCGGGACCGACAGCAACAUGAAGGCCAAGCUGAAGACUUUGCCGGAUUAGCUG
rnacentral:rRNA from 1 species